rnacentral:rRNA from 1 species
UACAGAGGGUGCAAACGUUGCUCGGAAUUACUGGGCGUAAAGCGUGCGCAGGCGGUUUUGUAAGCCAGAUGUGAAAGCCCCGGGCUUAACCUGGGAAUGGCAUUUGGGACUGCAAGGCUGGAGUGUGGCAGAGGAGACUGGAAUUCCUGGUGUAGCAGUGAAAUGCGUAGAUAUCAGGAGGAAUACCGAUGGCGAAGGCAGGUCUCUGGGCUGACACUGACGCUCAUGCACGAAAGCGUGGGGAGCAAACAGG